rnacentral:rRNA from 1 species
AAGACCUUACGCUUUUGGAGCGGCCGAUGUCUGAUUAGCUUGUUGGUGAGGUAAAGGCUUACCAAGGCUUCGAUCAGUAGCUGGUCUGAGAGGACGACCAGCCACACUGGGACUGAGACACGGCCCAGACUCCUACGGGAGGCAGCAGUGGGGAAUUUUGGACAAUGGGGGAAACCCUGAUCCAGCCAUGCCGCAUGAGUGAAGAAGGCCUUCGGGUUGUAAAGCUCUUUCAGCCGGAACGAAACGGUUACGAUUAAUACCUGUAACUACUGACGGUACCGGAAGAAGAAGCACCGGCUAACUACGUGCCAGCAGCCGCGGUAAUACGUAGGGUGCGAGCGUUAAUCGGAAUUACUGGGCGUAAAGCGUGCGCAGGUGGUUUUGUAAGUCAGAUGUGAAAUCCCCGGGCUUAACCUGGGAACU